rnacentral:rRNA from 1 species
AUUCCGAUCUGGCUCAGAUUGAACGCUGGCGAUCCUUUACACAUGCAAGUCGAACGCGCUGAACGGUCUGGUGGCGAGUGGCGAACGGGUGAGUAAUGUAUCGGAACGUGCCUAGUAGCGGGGGAUAACUACGCGAAAGCGCUAAUGCCACAUACGCCCUUCGGGGGAAAGCGGGGGGACGGCUUCGGGCCUCGCACUAUUAGAGCGGCCGAUAUCGGAUUAGCUAGUUGGUGGGGGUAACGGCUCACCAAGGCGACGAUCGCUGGUUCCAGAGAGGGCGACAACCACACUGCAGGACUGAGACACGGCCCAGGCUCUACGGGAGGCAGCAGCGGGGAAUUUUGGACAAUGGGGAAACCACUGAUCCAGCCAUCCCGCGUGUGCGAUGAAGAGGCCUUCGGGUUGUAGGCUUUUGGCGAGAAAAAGAAACGGCACGGGAUAUUACCCCGUGCAACUGACCAGUACCUGCAGAAUAAGCACCGGCUAACUACGUACCAGCAGCCGCCGCGGUAAUACGUAGGGUGCAAGCGUUAAUCGGAAUUACUGGGCGUAAAGCGUGCAGAGCAGUUCGGAAAAGAAAGAUGUGAAAUCCAAGAAUAACUUUGGAACUGCAUUUUUUAACUACCGAGCUAGAGUGUGUCAGAGGGAGGUGGAAUUCCGCGUGUAGCAGUGAAAUGCGUAGAUAUGCGGAGGAACACCGAUGGCGAAGGCAGCCUCCUGGGAUAACACUGACGCUCAUGCGAAAGCCGUGAGAACCGAGCGGAUUGAUCACCUGGUAGUCACGCCCUAAACGAUGUCAACUAGCUGUUGGGGCCUUCGGGCGCUUGGUAGCGCAGCUAACGCGUGAGAUGACCGCCUGGGAAUGCGGUCGCAAGAUUAAACUCAAAGAAAUUGACGGGGACCCGCACAAGCGGUGGAUGAUGUGGAUUAAUUCGAUGCAACGCGAAAACCUUACCUACCCUUGACAUGUCUGGAAUCCCGAAGAGAUUUGGAGUGCUCGCAAGAGAACCGGAACACAGGUGCUGCAUGGCUGUCGUCAGCUCGUGUCGUGAGAUGUUGGGUUAAGUCCCGCAACGAGCGCAACCCUUGUCAUUAGUUGCUACGAAAGGGCACUCUAAUGAGACUGCCGGUGACAAACCGGAGGAAGGUGGGGAUGACGUCAAGUCCUCGCGGCCCAUAUGGGUAGGGCUUCACACGUCAUACAAUGGUCGGGACAGAAGGUGCCCAACCCGCGAGGGGGAGCCAAUCCCAGAAACCCGAUCGUAGUCCGGAUCGCAGUCGCAACUCGACUGCGUGAAGUCGGGAAUCUUCAGUAAUCGCAGAUCAGCAUGUCGCGGUGAACGAUACGUUCCGGGUCUACAUACCUGCGCCGUCACCACCAUGGAGUGGGUUUUACCAGAAGUAGUUAGCCUAACCAUGGGGAGGCGAAUUACAGUGAUUCGCGGUGGGGUGAAGUCGUAACAAGAGUAG